GGAGAGCUGUCCGAGUGGUCGAAGGAGCACGAUUGGAAAUCGUGUAUACCCUUAUCCGGUAUCUAGGGUUCGAAUCCCUAGCUCUCCGCCA
rnacentral:tRNA from 1 species